UCAGGCAAAUAAAAACAUAUUUUAUGGUACAUUUGGAGGGUACAGUGCUAUAUAAAAGACUAAAGUAUAUUUGUGUGACUUUCUUAAAUUUCAGAAGAAUAAAUUGAGCAAAAUGAAAUUACAGUGUGAGAUAGUUUAAUAACAUUUAUGCAAACCUAUAAAACAAUGAUUCAGUGUUCUUCCUGACUAUUCUAGACUAAUAAACAACAGUAUACAUAAGGAUAAAUACCAGAUUCGUAACAAUGUUGCCUCCAGAGUGGGGUAGAAGGAAAUGGGCCUGGCAGGCUUCAACUUAUAUGUGAUAUUUUAUUUUUAAAAUUGAGGCAAAAAGAUAGUAUUUCCUAAAGCUGUUUUUCACAUAUUUUUCUCUCCACUUUUAUGUGUGUGUUGAAUGUUUCAUAAAAAGAAGUAAAAAUAAAAUGUACUUUUUAUCUUCUGUUCCUAAAAAUUCUGCAAAGUGAUGGAGAGAAUGUAGAUUUCGGAAUAAAUCCUAGUGAUAAGCUAAGAACUUCUGGCUGCUGCAUAAUCUUUUAAGUAACCUGUUUACCUACUGGUAAAGGCUUCAGUGCCAGCAGAGGCCUCUCUUUAAAUAAUUUUCCUGAUUUGCAUAUUGGGUGACUUUUAAAACAUUCAUGAGAGAUACCCUCUCUAGCUGAACAUGAAACUUGAAGAUUUGAGCCAGCCUCUAACUCACUGGUUUCUUUUCUGCUUUUUGUUCUUUCUGAGUUUGAAGCUAUCUUUCUCUAAUGGUCAUCAGUCAGACUGACUGAUGAGGCUUUCUUUUCCUGUACUGUUGCUGGGUGAAUUUUAUCUAAUUAUUUUCAGAGGUGUGCGCGUACGUGUGUGUGUGUGUGUGUGUGUGUGUAAAUUUGGUAUUAUAUGUGUGUGCCACCAUUCCCUGACAAAGUUAGCUUUCUUUAAAGAAUGAAAAUGAAGGUUCAUCAGAAUGAACGUCCAGUUGGUUUUACUGAGAGGAGACUGACUUAAACUUGGCAAAAACCAUUUUCUUUAGGCCAUUUUAGAAACUCAUCUUAUUGUUUCUUCUGCUAUUUCUUAGCCUGAAUUUUUACAUUUUUAACAUUUUCUACUACACAGUUUGAAUGUACACAUAUGCACAAACACAUGCACAGAAUUACUGGGCCAGGAUCACCUGUCUUUUGGAAUGAAAAUCUCCCCUACUUACCUACCUCUGAUGCCAGAUACCUCUGGUUGGCAUUGACGGUUUAAAAUAAACCAAAUAGAACUGCCCCUUCAAAAGAAAAAUUGCAAAUAUUUUUCUCCUGCUUUCUUCAUGUUCCUUCCUUGUUGAGUUUUUGUCUUCCUGUGAAAGCAGACAACGUUGCCUUGGAUUUUCAGACUUUCUUCUGACUUGUCACAUUUUGAAUCUUUUCUUUUUUAUUCCUCAGUAGUUUAUUUUAUUUAGAAUAUAUUCGGUGCCUUAUCGAGCCACUGUCGUGUACCAAGUACAGUGAUGUCGCUCGUGAACAGAUGAAAUGCACUGAGUAUCAGCUUCCAAUCCCCGUCUUCUCCGGAUGGAGGCGUUCUUCCACGUGUAAGUCCUCAGUAGGAAACACAGUUCUUAUCCAGGGAUCACUGCCUUCCACUCUUUGUGUUGUUUGUAGACAGUGCUAAAGGAACCGGACUUGGCCUUCAGGACCAACGAUGAGAGUGACUACUGCAGUGGGUGCUUCUGUUCCUUGCAUAUUAGAUGUCAUUUUUAAUUCCGUAGCCAUCCUACCACAUAUGUGAAUACAACCUUUUCAGAAGAGAAACAGAGAUGUAGGAGGCAAGCUUGCCUAGGACCUUAGGACUCGAGCUGGGGCCCGAGUACUGCUUCUCCUCUCUGGUGUUGACGGCGGAGGGACAGUUGGGUUCAAUCAUGAUCAAAUGCUGCAGCCAAGUAGAUAAAAUACUUUUAACAUACAGGUAUUUUGGCUAUUCAUGUUGACAGAUCAUUCUGAGAGUUAUAAACACAGCUCCAUCUGUUCUUUAUAUAAUUCUGUCAAGAGUCCAAAAUACUAGAGUAGAGAAUAGUGGUAGGUGGGCAGUAUUAGCCUAUAUUUGUGUAAUUUUUGUUUUGAAGGGACAGUUUUAUUUUGUUCAUUUUAAAGAUAAUUUACCAAUUACAUUUCGAAAGUACACGAUUUUCAGAACAAUUUAUCUGACCUAGGAAUGAAGCAUCCUUAAGGACAGUCAUCUACCAGGACUUCUUCAAAUUUCUGCUGUCCUGUUAUGCACAGUGGCCCUUAGAGUGCAGGGCUGGCAGAAUGGCUCAGCGCAGGCCUCCCUCUUCACCUCUUUCUUCUUCCCUGUCUGGGGACUCCUCCCCAGGAUCACUGGGUAUCCUGCCUAGACUGUAGGUCAGUAGUAUCUGUCUCUCUGACUAUCAGAGUUCUUAUCCCCAGAAUAUAGAUUUAUGGCGACGGCACCUGUUUUGUGUCACUGAAGUGACUGAUGUACAUGAAGAGCAGUGUGGUCCAGAUUUGGAGAGUUAGCUCAGUCAUGAAAAGCUGGCCCUGUUCCCACAGAGGGCUGCACUUCUGUCCCAGGCCUGCGCUGGGAAGCUCACAGGUUGCCUACCCCCAAGCCAGUGGUAUUCUUAGUUGUACUGUGCAAGACAUUUUUUUCCCGUAAGUGGAUGGCAACAGUAGUAGCAAAGCAUGCCCCGAGUCCUGUCAGUGAGGGCCUCAAGAACUGGUAGAGAGAAAGAAAAACCCAACCACCACCAACAAACAGAACAAAACAAAGACUUGGAAACCCGAGUCGUGAACUCUGAUCUCUGAACCCUAAACCUUGUAACUUGGAGACUGCUGCCAUCCUACUAGGCCCUUUUAUUGAGACUGUCUUGGUGGGAGUUCAUAUUUCCCUCAAUAUCUCAUAGCCCUCAGUUUCCUUCAGUUUGAAAUAUGCAGUGCCAGAGGGCUCCACUGGAAAACCUCCAGUGUUCCAGAGGGCACCUCAACUAGCAGUGAGGGCUGUACUCGCAUUGCGUUUAUAGCUUUAGAAAAGUUACGGUGAACUUACCGUUAGCACAGUUUUUGCUCCUCCACAGGUGUAGAACAGUAUGAAAACCACAACAUAGUUGUGUUUCAAGCUUAUCAUGAAAAUGAGGACAUAGAACUACAUAGCUAAGACAGAAGACUACAUAUCAUAACAUGCCCUUGGGUUGUGAUAUCACAGAAGACUACAUAUCAUAACAUGCCCUCAGGUUGAGAUAUCACAGAAGACUACAUAUCAUAACAUGCCCUCGGGUUGAGAUAUCACAGAAGACUACAUAUCAUAACAUGCCCUCGGGUUGAGAUAUCACAUUACAUAUCAUAACAUGCCCUCGGGUUGAGAUAUCACAGAAGACUACAUAUCAUAACAUGCCCUCGGGUUGAGAUAUCACAGAAGACUACAUAUAACAUGAGCACGGGUUGUGAUAUCACAGAAGACUACAUAUCAUAACAUGCCCUUGGGUUGAGAUAUCACAGAAGACUACAUAUAACAUGAGCACGGGUUGUGAUAUCACAGAAGACUACAUAUCAUAACAUGCCCUUGGGUUGAGAUAUCACAGAAGACUACAUAUCAUAACAUGCCCUUGGGUUGAGAUAUCACAGAAGACUACAUAUCAUAACAUGCCCUUGGGUUGAGAUAUCACAGAAGACUACAUAUAACAUGAGCACGGGUUGUGAUAUCACAGAAGACUACAUAUCAUAACAUGCCCUCAGGUUGAGAUAUCACAGAAGACUACAUAUCAUAACAUGCCCUUGGGUUGAGAUAUCACAGAAGACUACAUAUCAUAACAUGCCCUUGGGUUGAGAUAUCACAGAAGACUACAUAUAACAUGAGCACGGGUUGUGAUAUCACA
rnacentral:sRNA from 1 species